UACGUAGGGUGCGAGCGUUGUCCGGAAUUAUUGGGCGUAAAGAGCUUGUAGGCGGUUUGUCGCGUCUGCUGUGAAAAUCCGGGGCUCAACCCCGGACUUGCAGUGGGUACGGGCAGACUAGAGUGUGGUAGGGGAGACUGGAAUUCCUGGUGUAGCGGUGAAAUGCGCAGAUAUCAGGAGGAACACCGAUGGCGAAGGCGGAUCUCUGGGCCUUACCUGACGCUGAGGCGCGAAAGCUAGGGGAGCGAACAGG
rnacentral:rRNA from 1 species